rnacentral:snoRNA from 1 species
AGAUGGAUGAAUCAACCCAAAUAUAUAUUCCUUAGAAAAGCUGAGCUAAAUGAGUCAGAAUCCCUACUGUCUGCUCUCCUAGCACAGUGCUCC